GUGGGGAAUAUUGGACAAUGGGGGGAACCCUGAUCCAGCCAUGCCGCGUGUGUGAAGAAGGCCUUUUGGUUGUAAAGCACUUUAAGCGAGGAGGAGGCUACCGAGAUUAAUACUCUUGGAUAGUGGACGUUACUCGCAGAAUAAGCACCGGCUAACUCUGUGCCAGCAGCCGCGGUAAUACAGAGGGUGCAAGCGUUAAUCGGAUUUACUGGGCGUAAAGCGCGCGUAGGUGGCCAAUUAAGUCAAAUGUGAAAUCCCCGAGCUUAACUUGGGAAUUGCAUUCGAUACUGGUUGGCUAGAGUAUGGGAGAGGAUGGUAGAAUUCCAGGUGUAGCGGUGAAAUGCGGAGAGAUCUGGAGGAAUACCGAUGGCGAAGGCAGCCAUCUGGCCUAAUACUGACACUGAGGUGCGAAAGCAUGGGGAGCAAACAGGAUUAGAAACCCGGGUAGUCC
rnacentral:rRNA from 1 species